CGUGUAGGCGGUUUCGUAAGUCGGAGGUGAAAUCCAGUGGCUCAACCAUUGGCCUGCCUUCGAAACUACGGAACUUGAGGCCGUGAGAGGAAAGCGGAAUUCCUGGUGUAUCGGUGAAAUGAGUUGACAUCAGGAGGAACACCGGUGGCGAAGGCGGCUUUCUGGCGCGGUUCUGACGCUGAGGCGCGAAAGCAUGGGGAGCAAACG
rnacentral:rRNA from 1 species